AACGAACGCUGGCGGCAGGCUUAACACAUGCAAGUCGAGCGCCCCGCAAGGGGAGCGGCAGACGGGUGAGUAACGCGUGGGAAUCUACCCAUCUCUACGGAAUAACGCAUGGAAACGUGUGCUAAUACCGUAUACGUCCUUCGGGAGAAAGAUUUAUCGGGGAUGAAUGAGCCCGCGUUGGAUUAGCUAGUUGGUGGGGUAAAGGCCUACCAAGGCGACGAUCCAUAGCUGGUCUGAGAGGAUGACCAGCCACACUGGGACUGAGACACGGCCCAGACUCCUACGGGAGGCAGCAGUGGGGAAUAUUGGACAAUGGGCGCAAGCCUGAUCCAGCCAUGCCGCGUGAGUGAUGAAGGCCCUAGGGUUGUAAAGCUCUUUCACCGGUGAAGAUAAUGACGGUAACCGGAGAAGAAGCCCCGGCUAACUUCGUGCCAGCCGCCGCGGUAAUAC
rnacentral:rRNA from 1 species